CCAGGCCCCGGCUGGCCACCAGGUGAGCGCUCCCGAGCGCUCCCAACGCGUCGCGGGCGGCCGUGCGUCCACCAGGCCAAGUACAGGUCAUGGAGCGGCGCCCGGGGGGCGGCACGGACCCUAGGGGAAGCAAAGGAGGUGGUAAACAAAGCAGCCCUGGCGCCCGAGUGGCGGCGGCGGCGGCGAGCGGCGGGGGCGGCGGCGGUGGAGGGCAGCGGCCCAGCGACCCCAGCUGGGCUCGAGGAGCCGCACCCACACCCACACCCACACCUGCGCCGCGGGGCGGCGCACCGGACCCCGGGACUCCAAGGAGUCUCGGGGGAGAUGUGCUGGAGGGGUCUGCCCAGGGCGGUGGCGGUCCCCAGCCCGAGGAUCCCAGCGCCAGACAGUUCCUGGCGCGGCUGAAAGCUCGCCCCCUGGCGGCCCGAGCUGCGGCCGACGUGGCGGCGCUGGUACGCAGGGCUGGCGCCACCUUGCGCCUGCGCCCCAAGGAGGCCGCCCCUUCCCACAGUCCUGUAUGUCUGCAGUCAUAACCAUGCUUGGAACCAUGGAUUGUCCCAUUAUCCCAUAUGAGUACCUGGAGGGAAGAGUAUGUAAUAAGUAGGGCAAAGCAGGCGAUUAAUAAUGCCCACACAUAGGAAUGAAUACUUGGCAAGAACGAACCCAUCUUCUAUCACGCCUACCUUCCCCAAGAACCCACCUGCCAACGCAGGAGACGUAAGAGACGUGGGUUCCAUCCCUGGGUCAGGAAGAUCCCUUGGAG